GAUGAACGCUGGCGGCGUGCCUAAUACAUGCAAGUCGAGCGAACAGACGAUGAGCUUGCUCCUCUGACGUUAGCGGCGGACGGGUGUGUAACACGUGGAUAACCUUCCUAUAAGACUGGUAUAACUUCGGGAAACCAGAGCUAAUACCGUAUAAUCUCUUGCACCGCAUGGUUCAAUAGUGAAAGACGGUUUUGCUGUCACUUAUAGAUGGUUCCGCGCCUUAUUAGCUAGUUGGUAGUGUAACGGCUUACCAAGGCGACGAUGCGUAGCCGACCUGAGAGGGGGAACGGCCACAGUGGAGGUGAGACACGGUACAGAGUCCGAGGGGAGGCAGAGGUAGGGAAUCGUCGGAGAAGGGCGAAAGAUUGACGGAGCAACGCAGGGUGGGUGAUGAAGGUCCUCGGGUCGUAAAACGCUGUUAGGAGGGAAGAACAAAUGUGUAAGUAACGAAGCACGUGUGGAGGGUACCGAAACAGAAAGCCACGGCUAACUACGG
rnacentral:rRNA from 1 species